UCGAGAGCGUUUCUUACCGUUCCCGGAACUCAGGUUCAGCUUGCUGUGGGAUCAUUAGUUCAUGAGAUAUUGAUGAUCAACGAAAAGAGGUCCUUUUUUUCCAACGCCAAUAUCUCAACGACAAAUGGUCGUACAGAGGUUCAAAACCAAUCGUUUUGAAGCUGAAGAAUCAGGCUAGAUGAAUCCAAUAUUGACAAAGCAGCGAAAAAUUUUUUUGAGCUUGUGCACGCUUUUGAAAGACAAAAAUUGUGAGGAAUUUCGCCUUGCGCUAUUUCUGAGGGUCACACUCAGCGUGAUGUUCAAGAAAAAAAUAACUGAUGAGGAUUUCAAACUAGACGUUUCAAGCUUCGAAAUGCUUCUUGGUUUUUUACGAUUCGAUUAUUUUUCACCAAGUUACAGCUCUUCAAAAAUCACUCAAAAAAGGGAGGAAUCCUACUGUUCCUUUAAUUUUUUUGCUGAGUGUAGUUUUGGACAUAGUCCUUUCUGUCUUCGGGAUUGAAGGAGCCAGAUAGAAUCUCCAGGAUUAAAUAUUAAAUCUCUGGCUCGAAUAUCAUAACGAGUUUUCAAUUUGUCUGAAGCCACAGAAAUUCUACUCCCAGCAAAGAACAGGGCCUUUCUCUAAAUCUG
rnacentral:misc_RNA from 1 species